GAUGAAGAACGCAGUGAAAUGCGAUACUUGGUGUGAAUUGCAGAAUCCCGUGAACCAUCGAGUCUUUGAACGCAAGUUGCGCCCGAAGCCAUUAGGCCGAGGGCACGCCUGCCUGGGCGUCACACGUCGUUGCCCCCCAUCUACUCCUUCGGGAUUGCGGGGGGCGGAUGAUGGCCUCCCGUGCGCCUCGUCGCGCGGUUGGCAUAAAUGCCAAGUCCUCGGCGACGCACGCCACGACAAUCGGUGGUUGCGAAACCUCGGUUGCCCGUCGUGUGCGGUCGUCGCGCAUCGAGGGCUCGAAAAAAUUGCCGGGCUCCGGCUCGGCUUUCAACGCGACCCCAGGUCAGGCGGGGUUACCCGCUGAAUUUAAGCAUAUCAAUAAGCGGAGGA
rnacentral:misc_RNA from 1 species